AUAUUCCUGAAACAGCACAAACAGGAGAGGAAUGCAAGCUGUGAAUGAGACCCUUUUUUCUACAGGACAAAACUGAAGCCAUACAAUUUAAAGGAAAACACAAUGCACUGUAGUAACGGGAGACGGAGAGACGCCCUGUGGCUACAAAUUAGGUGGGAAGAACACAACCAACCUGAGGAGACACUUCGCUAACUGAUACUGAUGAUGACACCUCCAGAGCUGUUGCUGUUGGAGUUUUCUGCCUUCAGGAAGAUGUUGCCUAAAACCUGGCUUCUCCUCACCUGACCCCUUCCAAAGCUGGAAACAUGUUGGAAGGCAGUGUUGGAUGUCAUGGAUGAACUUAAGAACCCACCUCAGACAGUCUCCUGUCUGACCCAAUUAAUGAACUGCACCUAAAGUAUACAUGAAUUUUCUUAAAUAUUUGAAUGAUAAAGAACACUCAAUGAAACUGGAGAAUCAAGUCAUUGUAACUUAAAAUGCUGAGUUGAAUAGUUGGGCAAAAUUUGAUUUUACUGCAGACUUUAUGUACAAAUAAUUGGAAUUUUAGUGUAUUGAACUUUAAUUGUGAACUUGAACUUCCAGUCUAUUAGCAUUCAAGUCAAUUUCACUCGAACAAAUUAGUUUCUCCAUUAUCCAUUACUUAAAUUUUCUAAGCCAAUUUGUGCAGGUUACAAGUGUCUAUGGAGACGUGUAUAUGUGUGUAGGUGUCGUGAGAAAAUCAACACCCACUCCUGUGUCCCACCAGCCUUGUAACUCAGCUCAGUGAGUACACCAAUGUUGAGCCAAUUUUUUAUGUGUUUGUGAGUUAUGGUGUUUUUUUCCCCAGCAGACCUUGGCUGUCUCUUUCUCUCAAUCGCUACAUCUCUGUCCCUUUUCUUUCUGUCUCUCUGUCUCUUCCUCCUCUCCCUCUCUCUUCCUCUCCUUCUCCUGAGUGCACCGGGGCCAUUGUAAAACACUGGGUGAGUCCCAAGCCCUCAGAAGGCUCAGAGGCUCAGGGUUGACUGAUCGCUGGAUUUCACCACAGGCUCCAAGAACGGGGAUUGUUCAAGAAGCUUUUCCUUCCCACUGAGACCCCUGUGGAUUAAGGAUUCCUGGCUUCUGUUGCAAUAAUAAGGCCUCACACACUGCCAAAAGAAAAUACUGCAGUAAAGCUCUGCAAUGCUUCAACUGUAUAUGCUGUGCAUUGCCACAUUUUGCCCCUUAUAGUUUUUGUCCUUUUGUAUUUAUUUAUUUACCUUCAGCAGUGUUCUGGUACCUCAGAAUGAAAGACUGGAAUUUAAUGACAGUGUUUGCAACAGCCAACAGUCAUGUUGUAUGUAAAAAGGAUAUCU